GAUGAACGCUAGCGGCAGGCUUAAUACAUGCAAGUCGAGGGGCAGCAUGAUUGUAGCAAUACAAUUGAUGGCGACCGGCAAACGGGUGCGGAACACGUACACAACCUUCCAACAACUGGGGGAUAGCCCAGAGAAAUUUGGAUUAAUACCCCGUAACAUAGCGAUGUUGCAUCACAUUGCUAUUAUAGAUUUUUCGCUUGUUGAUGGGUGUGCGGCUGAUUAGAUAGUUGGCGGGGUAACGGCCCACCAAGUCUACGAUCAGUAGCUGAUGUGAGAGCAUGAUCAGCCACACGGGCACUGAGACACGGGCCCGACUCCUACGGGAGGCAGCAGUAAGGAAUAUUGGACAAUGGACGCAAGUCUGAUCCAGCCAUGCCGCGUGAAGGAUUAAGGUCCUCUGGAUUGUAAACUUCUUUUAUAAGGGACGAAAAAAGGCUUUUCUAAGUCGUCUGACGGUACCUUAUGAAUAAGCACCGGCUAACUCCGUGCCAGCCGCCGCCGUAAAAC
rnacentral:rRNA from 1 species